GGAAAAUGGCGGCCUCCUUGCCGCUUGGGUUACUAGAGUCCACCCAGCCUCGUGCUUUCUUCGGGCGCCCGUAGCUGGCGCCGGCAUCCACAAAAAUAGAUCAGGUGGAUGUGUGUUGAAAGCAGUCUGAAAUGCUGAGGAUCUCUGGAUGGUGGCGCUGAAGAGUGUCUGCCAGCCAGCUGUGAUCACCUGUGUCUGGGCAGGGGUAGCAGAUGUGCCCUGGGAGGCUGCACCAAGCUCUGCUGGGACCUAUGUGGGGAGUGAGGGGCUGAAGAGAUGGAAAGACGUCUGACAUUCUGGAGCCUGGAGCUGAGGCUGGACAGCGCAACCUGCCACUAUCCCAAGAGCCUACUGACCACAGCAGCUCCUGUUACCACAGCUGCCAUUUCUGCUCUCA
rnacentral:lncRNA from 1 species